AAACGACUCUCGGCAACGGAUAUCCCGGCUCUCGCAUCGAUGAAGAACGUAGCGAAAUGCGAUACUUGGUGUGAAUUGCAGAAUCCCGUGAACCAUCGAGUCUUUGAACGCAAGUUGCGCCCGACGUCACUAGGCUGAGGGCACGCCUGCCUGGGUGUCACGC
rnacentral:rRNA from 1 species